UAAAAUGAAUAAUGAGGUAAAGAGGAAUGCAGCGCAAGAUGGAAAAAUCUUUGCUCGUACAGACUUUCUGAUUUGAAUCAUUAUUAUUUUUUCUCCUUUACUUUUGCGUCCUUGUAUCUUGUUUU
rnacentral:ribozyme from 17 species